rnacentral:rRNA from 1 species
AUGGAAAGGUUUCCAAAAAAGAGGAGAACCAUAGUGCGAGAUGAAGGCUCGUCACACCAACAUAAUCAGAAUGAUGCCUCAAUCCCGCCACUGUCGGUCGAACAAAAUGUUGUCCCCUCACUACAUGAACAGCUUGAUGUCCCAGCCCCACCAUCACCACCUGGACAGAAUGAUGCCUCCACAUAUGAACCUAAUUCUGCCAAUAAUACAAGGAAUUUAUUUCAAGUUGAAGAAGAGAUCAAUUGGGAAGAGCAACUUAAAUUUGAUCCAGGUAAAAGGAGAAGUAUUGAUGAGUAUCAUCCGAAUCUGAGAGAUAUGGUAAGACUGAAGUACUUGGCCAAUGGACCUUGUCAGCCUCGUACUGGUGAUUUUAAAGUAACCAAAAUAUGUGGUAGAGAUAGAAGGUUCGUUCGGGAAUGGUUUGAUGAGUUUGAGAGGUUUAGACCACGCAAGAAGAAAGAAGAUGGAUAUGAUGCAUUUGUUGCAAAUGGUUGGUCAAGUUGGAAUAAAAAAUAUAGAUUAAAGGAGCAUGUAGGAGACAUCAAUAGUGCUCACAACCAAGCAAAAAUAGAUUGUGAUGCUUUGCUGAAACAAAAGGAACACAUUUAUGUUGCUCUAAAUAACCAAAGUAAUGCUGAGAGGAUUCCUUAUUAUACUCAACUAAAUGCCUCAAUUGAUGUUGCAAGGGUGUUACUGAAGCAAGCGUUGCCUUUUUGUGGCCAUGAUGAGUCCGAGGAGUCUCUCAAUAAAGGCAAUUUCAUGGAAUUUCAUUCUUACACAACAGAGCAGAAUCCAGCUGUAAGAAAAGUUGUGGCCCAUAAUGUUCUAGGUAAUAAUCAGUUGACUUCUUCGAAGAUUCAGAAGGACAUAGCUGAAUGUUUUGCAAAGGAAAUAUUGCAUUAG